CGGUGUCAUUAGCUAUUCGCAAUGAAGCUACUGAGUUUAACUGCAUGUUCCCUUGAUCCCUAGCCAUUUGAAAUCUUGCUGUGUAUAUUGGCUACAGUAAGUUCAGAUUUGCUGUUAGGAGUAGGAUAUAUCUAGAUAGAAUCUAUCGACCUUAGUAGAAAGGGAGAAGUCUCAUGCGAUUUAUGAGACUGAAUUCAGAAAGUCUUGGG
rnacentral:lncRNA from 1 species